rnacentral:rRNA from 1 species
UCCGUAGGUGAACCUGCGGAAGGNUCAUUAUUAUGCGCACUAUGCGCGCUGGCGGGCUGGUUUUGUGGAGAUCGAGAACUCCCUCACAGGAUGAGCUCUCUCCUCGACCAGCCCUGACCAAUAUACCCAUGAUUUUUGCGUACCUAUUGUUUCCUCGGCAGGCUUGCCUGCCAGUAGGACCCUUUUAAAACCCAUUGCAGUUGCAGUCAGCGUCAGAUAAACUUUUAAUAGUUACAACUUUCAACAACGGAUCUCUUGGUUCUGGCAUCGAUGAAGAACGCAGCGAAAUGCGAUAAGUAGUGUGAAUUGCAGAAUUCAGUGAAUCAUCGAAUCUUUGAACGCACAUUGCGCCCCUUGGUAUUCCAUGGGGCAUGCCUGUUCGAGCGUCAUUUGUACAUUCAAGCUCUGCUUGGUGUUGGGUGUUUGUCCUGCCUUUUUGCGCAUGGACUCGCCUUAAAUCAAUUGGCAGUCGGCAAUCUGGCGUUAGAGCGCAGCACAUUUUGCGCUCUUCACCGUGUAUUGCGGCGUCCAUGAAGCCUAUAUUCUAGCGCUUGACCUCGGAUCAGGUAGGGAUACCCGCUGAACUUAAGCAUAUCAAUAAGCGGAGGA